UACAGAGGUCUCGAGCAUUAGGCGGAAUCACUGGGCUUAAAGCGUGUGUAGGUGGAUCGUUAAGUACCUUGUGAAAUCCCACGGCUUAACCGUGGAACUGCUUGGUAUACUGGCGGUCUUGAGCCAGCUAGGGGCUACCGGAACAAAUGGUGGAGCGGUGAAAUGCGUAGAUAUCGGGAGGAACACCAAUGGCGAAGGCAGCUCGCUGGGACGGUACUGACGCUGAGGCGCGAAAGCGUGGGGAGCAAACAGGG
rnacentral:rRNA from 1 species